rnacentral:lncRNA from 1 species
GAAUAGUUCAAUUUAAAUUUUAUUUUUUAGAUAUUACAUGUGAUGUAUCAGAUCUGAAAGCAUGUUAAUUAGAUUAAUUUUUGAUACAUGAGAUGUAUGCAAAGCAUGUAUUUGUUAGAUCUUAAAUUGUAUAUGUGAUAUGUUAAUUUAGAUCUAACUAGUUUUGUAGUUAAAUUUAUAUUUCUGAUUAAGGUAUUCCUCAUGGC